rnacentral:lncRNA from 1 species
AGAAUGUGGGGUUCUUGAUAAACAGGGGUUAUAGAAACACCGGUGACGGUUGGAGUUGAAAUACUAGAGGUUUGAGCGGUGGAACUUGACUCCAUUUGCUGUGAGUAGUUGAACAGUUGUUGUUGUUGAGCAUCCAUUGUAAAGAAGAAGAUGAAGAUUGAUGAAGAUGAAGAAACUUGCAGAGAAUGCUUCGAGAGAGGGUUUAGGGUUUUAGAGUGAGUGAGAGUGAUAAGUGUGAAAAGUGAGAGAAAGUGUUUAUAUACUCUAAGUAAAAACAUGCAAAACGACACACAUUCCAGCGUUAGCACAAAAAUCAAAAUAGCACGCUUGGGGGGAAAAAUGAUUACAG